UGACCAGGCCUCUGUGAGGUGACCAGGCCUCUGUGAGAUGACCAGGCCUCUGUGAGGUGACCAGGCCUUGUGAGGUGACCUAUCUCUGUGAGGAGAGCAGGCCUCAGUGAGGUGACCAGGCCUCUGUGAUUUAACACAGCCUCUCUGAGGUAAAGCAGGCAAUGUUACCAGGUCUCUGUGAGGUGAGGAAGCCAGGGUGAGGUGACCUGGUCUCUCCGAGCUUCCUGCUGAGCUUGUCCUCUGCAGAUAGAGCGGGCCGACCUGGCAGCUGGAGCGCCAAGGCCUAUGCUAGGCUCUGGAGAUACAGGAACAGAGGUGCAAGCAUUGAAAUAUGUCUCUUCGGCUCAAACACUGUGUGUGAGCUGAGGCUCACUGGCUUCCUCCUCCCAGCUCUGUUGUGGCUGUUGUAUCUAGAAAACAUGAAAAGCUCUCCCAUCUCAAUAGAAGAAAAGUCAUUCACGUGGCAUGAUUCUGUGAAUACAGAAUUCUUGGAAAGUCACGGCUCAAGUGACAGAAGAAUCUGAUGGUCUGGUGUUGGAAAGCACAGAGGGGAAGAGGCUGGGUUUAAAGAAACACCUUCUGGGUGAUGGAAGCUCCCUGGUGAUUGCAGUACUGUCUAUUGUGGAUCAGAACAUGCUGAUUCACAUACCUGGGAUCGGUUCGCCUCCAUCAUUCAUCAAUCGCACUUCAAGGAAGCAGAUGACUAGCAUGCCCAUGUCCUCCACCCCUGCCGUCUUCCUCCUUAGAUGGCAUCCCAAGGAACUGUUCAAGACACGGCAAAGAUUUAUAAACAUUAAUGGUCCUCAAA